GACGAACGCUGGCGGCGUGCUUAACACAUGCAAGUCGAACGGAAAGGCCCUGCUUUUGUGGGGUGCUCGAGUGGCGAACGGGUGAGUAACACGUGAGUAACCUGCCCUUGACUUUGGGAUAACUUCAGGAAACUGGGGCUAAUACCGGAUAGGAGCUCCUGCUGCAUGGUGGGGGUUGGAAAGUUUCGGCGGUUGGGGAUGGACUCGCGGCUUAUCAGCUUGUUGGUGGGGUAGUGGCUUACCAAGGCUUUGACGGGUAGCCGGCCUGAGCGGGUGACCGGCCACAUUGGGACUGAGAUACGGCCCAGACUCCUACGGGAGACAGCAGUGGGGAAUAUUGCACAAUGGGCGGAAGCCUGAUGCAGCAACGCCGCGUGCGGGAUGACGGCCUUCGGGUUGUAAACCGCUUUCGCCUGUGACGAAGCGUGAGUGACGGUAAUGGGUAAAGAAGCACCGGCUAACUACGUG
rnacentral:rRNA from 1 species